ensembl:lincRNA Otx2os1 orthodenticle homeobox 2 opposite strand 1
AGUUGUCCCGCGUGGCCCGGGCUGUGGGAAGCAGGUCCUGGCUCUUGGUCCGAGCCAUCGUGCUUUGUAUGAUGGAAAGGCAAAUCCACGCGAAUCUCUUGAAAAAGAGAGGAAUUCUGCCCAGACUCUCCAGCAGUUGGUAGCAGGCAAGCUUUCUCCUGUGUCGCCUGGAAAAGUUGCAAAAUUGCUCUUCACCUGUAAGAACAUGCAUUUUAUCUUCCAGUCUCUUCUUGUCAAUUUGGAAAUUGCAGACACCCCGGCUCAGGAGAAAUGGCUCUGUGCAUUGGUUUUCCUGGCUGACCCUGAGAAUAAGCAACUCUGUCCGCUUGUUGUCUGAAGUUGUUUGAAGAUGAUUAGAGGAGAAAUAACACCAAAGCCCUGAGCAAUGCUUUGCAGACGUCUAGGGGCUCAGGAUGUGUGAUGUAGCCCAGUUCUAUUUGUUGACAUCCAGCUUUUGAAAGCAUCAGCCUUUGAGAGUGGAACAAUAUUGGAGCUAUGGAGUCACCUUUACCUGGAAAUAUCGAAGGGUCAUGAACUUGUCGUCGUCGUCAUCGUCAUCGUCAUCAUCAUCACCAUCACCAGCAGCAGCAGCAAGAUUUUGUGUUGGGAAGGUACUUCCAAAUGCUACAGGGGACAGAAGGUCAUCAGCUAUUGGCCCAGGGAUUAUAGCAUGGAAGAGUUCCUCUUCUCAGAGGAUAUUAAACCUUUUGAGGAUU